rnacentral:rRNA from 1 species
UGAACGCUGGCGGUAUGCUUAACACAUGCAAGUCGAACGGAAACGAUACUAGCUUGCUAGUAGGCGUCGAGUGGCGGACGGGUGAGUAACGCGUAGGAAUCUGCCUGAUAGUGGGGGAUAGCCCGAAGAAAUUCGGAUUAAUACCGCAUAAUCUAUUCGUAGUAAAGUGGGGGACUUUCGAGCCUCACGCUAUCAGAUGAGCCUGCGUAAGAUUAGCUUGUUGGUAGGGUAAAAGCCUACCAAGGCGACGAUCUUUAGCUGGUCUGAGAGGAUGAUCAGCCACAUCGGGACUGAGACACGGCCCGAACUCCUACGGGAGGCAGCAGUGGGGAAUAUUGGACAAUGGGGGCAACCCUGAUCCAGCAAUACCGCGUGUGUGAAGAAGGCCUGAGGGUUGUAAAGCACUUUCAAUUGUGAAGAAAAGUUAGCGGUUAAUAACCGUUAGCCUUGACGUUAACUUUAGAAGAAGCACCGGCUAACUCCGUGCCAGCAGCCGCGGUAAUACGGGAGGGUGCAAGCGUUAAUCGGAAUUACUUGGGCGUAAAGCGUGCGUAGGCGGUUUAUUAAGUCAGAUGUGAAAGCCCCGGGCUUAACUGGGAACUGCAUUUGAAACUGGUCAACUAGAGUAUGGUAGAGGAAAGUGGAAUUUCUGGUGUAGCGGUGAAAUGCGUAGAUAUCAGAAGGAACAUCAAUGGCGAAGGCAGCUUUCUGGACCAAUACUGACGCUGAGGUACGAAAGCGUGGGUAGCAAACAGGAUUAGAUACCCUGGUAGUCCACGCCGUAAACGAUGAUAACUAGCCGUUGGGGGGAUUUACCCUUUAGUGGCGAAGCUAACGCGUUAAGUUAUCCGCCUGGGGAGUACGGCCGCAAGGUUAAAACUCAAAGGAAUUGACGGGGACCCGCACAAGCGGUGGAGCAUGUGGUUUAAUUCGAUGCAACGCGAAGAACCUUACCUGGUCUUGACAUCCUGCGAACUUUCUAGAAAUAGAUUGGUGCCUUCGGGAACGCAGUGACAGGUGCUGCAUGGCUGUCGUCAGCUCGUGUCGUGAGAUGUUGGGUUAAGUCCCGUAACGAGCGCAACCCCUAUCCUUAUUUGCCAGCACAUCAUGGUGGGAACUAUAAGGAGACUGCCGGUGAUAAACCGGAGGAAGGCGGGGACGACGUCAAGUCAUCAUGGCCCUUACGACCAGGGCUACACACGUGCUACAAUGGGAAGGACAAAGAGCCGCGAAGCCGCGAGGUGUAGCUAAUCUCAUAAACCUUUUCGUAGUCCGGAUUGGAGUCUGCAACUCGACUCCAUGAAGUCGGAAUCGCUAGUAAUCGUAGAUCAGAAUGCUACGGUGAAUACGUUCCCGGGUCUUGUACACACCGCCC